UGCUCGAAUAGCUCAGUUGGUCAGAGCGCUCGGCUGUUAACCGAGAGGGCGUGAGUUCGAUCCUCACUUCGAGCG
rnacentral:tRNA from 1 species